GACGAACGCCGGCGGCGCGCCUAACACAUGCAAGUCGAACGAGAGAGAAGGAGCUUGCUUCUUUGAUCGAGUGGCGAACGGGUGAGUAACGCGUGAGGAACCUGCCUCAAAGAGGGGGACAACAGUUGGAAACGACUGCUAAUACCGCAUAAGCCCACAGGUCGGCAUCGACCAGAGGGAAAAGGAGCAAUCCGCUUUGAGAUGGCCUCGCGUCCGAUUAGCUAGUUGGUGAGGUAACGGCCCACCAAGGCGACGAUCGGUAGCCGGACUGAGAGGUUGAACGGCCACAUUGGGACUGAGACACGGCCCAGACUCCUACGGGAGGCAGCAGUGGGGAAUAUUGCACAAUGGGGGAAACCCUGAUGCAGCGACGCCGCGUGGAGGAAGAAGGUCUUCGGAUUGUAAACUCCUGU
rnacentral:rRNA from 1 species